UUGGACAGGUAAAGCAGUUUGGUCAAUC
rnacentral:piRNA from 1 species